rnacentral:rRNA from 1 species
CCUACGGGAGGCAGCAGUGAGGAAUAUUGGUCAAUGGGCGAGAGCCUGAACCAGCCAAGUCGCGUGAGGGAGUACUGCCCUAUGGGUUGUAAACCUCUUUUGUCGGGGAGCAAAAGCCGGACGUGUCCGGCUGUGAGAGUACCCGAAGAAAAAGGAUCGGCUAACUCCGGUCCAGCAGCCGCGGUAAUACGGAGGAUGCGAGGGUUAUCCGGGUUUAUUGGGUUUAAAGGGUGCGCAGGCGGAUUUUUAAGUCAGCGGUAAAAUCGUGGGGCUCAACCCCAUCCAGCCGUUGAAACUGGGGAUCUAGAGUGUGCGAGAGGUAUGCGGAAUGCGUGGUGUAGCGGUGAAAUGCAUAGAUAUCACGCAGAACCCCGAUUGCGAAGGCAGCAUACCGGUGCACAACUGACGCUCAGGCACGAAAGCGUGGGUAUCGAACAGGAUUAGAUACCCGAGUAGUC